AAAUUCAUCAUUUAAGUAACCUCAAGUUUGGCUUUGCAGUUAACUUGUAACAUAUAGGGUUACACUUCCUGCCCAAAAUCAAAUACAUUUCCGCCCAAAAAAUACAGAUGCCGAAAAAUGGCGCGGUUUGUGAUACUGCAGGAUGACACUGUGUGUCAUCGGCUCCUGAGUGCGAUACGAAAGCUAUGGACCCCAAACUAGAUAGGAGGUCAGGCCAGGCAUUUUGGCAUGGUCGUUUUAGUUAGGAUUAAAUAAAACCAAUAUUCAAACUGCUUGAAUGCCGGUAGUCCCCAGUAAACAGGUGCUCAAGCACAUUUUAAAAAUUAUUUCCAAUAGAUUACAUCAAUAGUUAUUAUAAAGAGUAUUUAUAGGGCGCCAAAACUCACAAAAAUAAGGUACUCAAGGAGCACAUGGAGGGGGGGACCACACAUAGAAAAGGAAAAGUAGACAUUGAGCAAUUACAUAUAAGAGACAUGGUGGUUUUCAACUUAAAAACAAAAAGAUGGCAAUCACUUUAAUAUAAGAGCUCCUCUGGAUUUCUUCUCUAUAAAACGAAUAUAUAACUUGGAUCUGUGAUACAACUAGUUUAGCCUUUCAGAAAAAAGUGUAUUCAAUGAAUGAUAAUAUGCAAAGAUCACGGCGCUAAGGUUUAACUCCCUCUCGUGAUAUUCAAUAGAAACCAGCCCGUUCUAUGCGCAACGCGUCCACAGAUUGCGGUACCCAUGCGCACAUCAAGUUUGUGAAUCAACUACCUUCUCUCACAGUGACAUGGUGGAAAAAUCACAAAUGCCAUAUUGGAUUUGAUACUAUCAGUAGCACUCUACCUCGAAAGUUUUUGGUUUAUUAUUUAUACAACGGAAGUAUUUUUUUAACCAUGGAUGACCCAAAUGGUAAGUUUGUGCAGCUCGCCAGUUCAAAUGCGUCGGCAGCUGAUCCGAGAAGAAGCAGGGAGAUCUGGUUUUGCAGAUUUUGCCAAAGAGUUGACGAUAUAGGAACUCGGUUUUACCAAAUCUUUUACGUAAAACAAUUUAGGAACCAACACGAAACAAGGCAUCAAGAAGAUGAACAGCCGCUAGAUUUUUUAUCGAGCAACGAUGGAAAAGGAACUCAGUGGUAAACGUGACAUACACCAGCCACUGUGGAGUCGACAACAUCUCCUAACCUGAAUCAAACCGGAUCUCUUCAACCUCAGGUACAUCUCAAGACACUUUAUAUCUCCACACCUGCUCUCGAGUCCAUCACAGAACCAUUACAACAGAACUUCCAGCACAUGAGAAAUAACUUAAUUUUCCUGAGACUAGUGAUCCAGCUUAAAGACAAUUCAUAUCCAGUCGACUUCCUACCAACUCGGCCUCGGCAAGAACACCAGGUCGACCCAUCGUGGUCGUUCGAAAUAUAAACAUUAGUUUGGAUGGAGCAAUUUUGUCAGUCAUGUUUGCAGGACAAAAAACACAAUGUCCACAGAUUUACAUUAAACUUACACCGUUUACUCCAUUCCAUCUCAGUGUAACCAA